rnacentral:tRNA from 1 species
GCUCCUGUGGCUCAGUUGGUAGAGCAUGGUGUUUGCAACGCCAGCAUGGUGUGUGCAACGCCAGGGUUGUGGGUUCGAUUCCCACGGGGGGCC